CAGGAGAGGUUCUGCAGUAUAAGUUGUGUACAGAGCCCGGAGAAGCUCUGUGGCCCAGUAUUCUGGCUUCAUCUCCUGCUGCUCUAGGCCUUCUAGAAUGCCAUUUCCUAACUAACUGUUCGUUUCACAACCUGGUCCUCUCCCUAUAGGUGCUCUUCUCUCUUCUUGAAAGCCUUUUCCGUACCUUAUGUGCCUGGUGAGGUCCCAAUUUCAAAAUCUUCUUGAAGUCUGCCACUGCCUACGCUCCACCCAAAUAAUUGUUUUCUAUAUUCUUCUGUUAUCUCGCUAUGAAUAAUUACAGUGAUUUUCAUUAUUCACAGUGAUUAUGGUCCAUAAAAUCACACAGAACACUAAAUUAGCAAAUACUGAACAGUUGCUCCUAGGGAAAAUAGGUAUGUUUCUCAUAUACAUUUUAAUCUUAAAUUUUAAAUUCAACUCAUCCUGGUAAAUUCUAUUUUCUUUAUUUAACAAAAAAGAAAAUGAGAUUCAGAAGUGUUAAGCGACGUGCCUGAGGCCAACCAACCCCGUAACAGGUUCCAGUUAGAAUUCAAAUCCUGUCUUACUGGCCCUUGAGCCAGAGCUUCUUGCACUACACUGCACUGCCCUCUCCUGGCUGUGCCCUGAAUUAUCUCUAUGAGUGCUUAAAUGAGCAGAGCAGUGCCUAGUUCAAACUUCUUGGAUGGGAACCAUGCGCUAAGGGGUGACUCAGAAUUUUUCCCACUCUGUGCAUGUCCGUGAAUGACUAUGGAAGCACCGUCAGUAUUCAUUUGGUGGUUACAAAUAAAUUUUGGCAAGCAGGCAAAUUUCCAAAUACAGGAUCCACAAAUAAUGAGGAUCAACUGUAUUUGUGAAUGAGCCCUGGAGUCUGUUUCAUGGUAACCCGUCCCUGCAAUCAACAGUGGAAUGUGCUGUUUUAUCCAACAGAUAUUCAUUAAGCACUUACUAUAAGCCAGGCCGUUUUAGGCUGUGGUGACCAAACUGGAAAUUAAGCUGCUGUCCUUAUGCAUGUUAAAUUUGAAUAAGCCAGCUAAAAGCCUGGAGCUCAGGGGAGAGAUCUAGUUUGUAAUUAGAGGGUAACUUGACCAACGUGACUUGACCAACCUUGUGUGGUCCUUCCCACUUCAUAUUCCUUAGCAUGUUGAUUUCCAGAACAUUUCAGUUUUGCUCUUUGCAUAAACCCUCUCUUUUGAGCAACUCUUUACUUGUCACUAGUUUAUUUUGAGGCUGUUUACCCAUAAAACUGGCAGGAUAUUGUAGAAGAAACAGGCUAAUGUGGUCUUUGAUUUCUGCCUUUGCCACCUCCCAACUGAGUGACUUUGGUCACACUGUUGAACUUUUUAAACCUGUUUCCUGAUGUCAGAAGUAGUAAUAUGAUGUUCUAGCCCCUGUGGAUUGCAAGGGAGAGGCACACACAUAUUACCUUUGAUGACAAGGGUUUAAUAAUCUGCUGUAUAGCACAGAGAACUCUACCCACUAGUCUAUGAUAAUCUGUGUGGGAAAAGAAUCUGAAAGAGAAUGGAUGUGUGUAUAUGUAUAACUGAAUCACUUUGUCGUACAGCAGAAAUUAUCACAACUUUGUAAAUCGACUAUACUUUAAUAAAACUUUUUAAUAAAAAAACCUUAAAGAGCACUAACUUAGUAGUGUUUAGGAUAGGAUUUGAGCUCUGGAGACCCGCCCUCUAUUACUUUGUUCACUCAAGCUUUGUGUUUCCUAGGAGAGAGCAUCUGAUUGGAUUGGUUUGCCACCUUCUAAAAUGGAGGACCCCUAUUGAGCAGAAUUUUUAACCAAAGCCGUAUCCUAGGUGAUCUCCCUCAAGUUCAGCCCUUAAUUAGGGCUCUGAGUCUGGUCCAGGAGUUUGUGGCCAAAGAAGUAGGAUUAGUUUCAUGUAUUAUAUGUGGCAAAGACUGUAGCAUAUAUAAAAAGAACCCCUUGGAGAGAGAUUCUUCCAAAAGCAACCAAGGAUAGAGCAGUCCUUAGGAUGCCAAUUCAAUAACCUAUCUGAUACGCUCAUAGACAAUGUUUAAUAAAGCACCUAACAAAGUAAUUGACACAUGUCAAAUAUUGCAUAGAGCUCCCUUUUGAUGUUGCCGUUAACAUUAUAGUGUGAUUGUUUGUUCAUGUGGCUGUCUUCCUUCCUAGACUAUGAGCUCCAUGAGGGAGAGUCAACAUCUUCAUCCUUCUAACCUUGGCAUUGAGUGCAGUGCCUGAUACAUUGUAAUAAAUAUACACAUGUCUGAAUUGAAGCAUUCCCUAACUUGUCCUGAAAGGGUAGAAUAAUGUGAAAGCUUUUCAGAGAAGGUAUAGUUUAAACUGGUUCUUAAAGAAUGAGUAGAAUGUUUUCCAGGUGAAUAAAACCUUGUGGCAGCAUUCCAAAUAGGGACCAGCAGGUGCAAAAGAACAGAGAUAGAAGAAGAUAACCAUGACCAGUAACAGAUGCAAAUUUUAGGGAGAAAGUGUAAUACUCUCAAGGUGUUAGCAGGGUAUCAAUAAUAAAUAGAGUUUAGAAAUACAAGUAUUGACUUUUGGGAACCAUUACACUGUAGUGAAAUUAUUUACUUCAUCAUGAAGCUCACGUGUAUCUUGUACUGUUCAAGGUGCUAAAAAUGUAAUGAAACUUAUUCUCAGAAGGCUCACAAGCUCACAAGUAGAUGGAGGAACUGGUUUGUCAUGUAAGGUAAUAAAGAUAUGAAAAAAAAAAAGCUGUCUAAACCAGGAGAAAGGAGUAUUUAGUAAUAUGGAGCAAUGGAGGAGAUUACUCAAAUGAGGUGGUGUUUGAGCUAGGCCUUGGUAGGUAAAGAAGUAGGAGUUCACUAGACCGAAAGUAAGGAUUUAUGGGGACUAUUUGUGGUAGGAGAGAUUUAAGAAUUAUCCAGUUUGCCAUUUCUGUUUUGGGCACUCAGUUAAUAGUUUUGUUUAUUCAAGCAGUUUCUCUGAGCAUAUGAAUGUGAAUAGUUAUGCUACAGUAGAACUUUGUGUCAAAAUAAACUGGGUUAAACAAAGGUUUCUGAAAUGCAGGUCUUCUCAAGAGCCUUUAUUAUGUUAAUAUCCUUUGUCAAUUGUGGCUCUCCAAAAGGACUACAUUAUAUUUAACUAUGGCUUCUCCUCCUUCUCCCUUUGCAACAUACCUAAACAUCUUUUGAAACAAAAUUACAUAAGAUACAGUUUGAGGAGUUCCCUGGUGGCUCAGUGGGUACAGGAUCCAGCAUUGUCACUGCUGUGGCUCAAAUCAUUGCUGUGGUGCAAGUUUGAUCCCUUCUCUACAAAAUUCUUCAUGCUGCAGGCAAGGCCAAGACAAACAAAAAGACAUAGUUUGAGAGAUGAUGAAUUAAAACAUAUUUUUAUCAAGCCAAAAUUUAUCAGUAGUCUCCAGGUACAUUGUAAAAUAAUGUAUAAUUGCAUAAUCUUAGAGCAAAGAAGAAAGGACAUUUGGAGAGAAAAAAUACGUUCUAGCCAAGUUAUUAUCAUCUUGGUCAUUAAAUCCCAAACUUAUAAAAAUUCUUAUAUGAUCACACUCUCCCUUGAAAACUAUGGCUUAUUCAUAUUUUGAAAUUCUGUAAGGUGAUCAGAGACACCCUGCGGUGUGGCAGAAACAGAGCAGGAGUGAACAGUGGUGACCAAGGCAAAGGUCAUCUUGGAAGUGAGACUCUUCCAACCUGAGAGGAUGCUACUUUUACUAUGCAUUCAUUUUAGGCCAUAUUAGGCAUAUAUUUCGCUGUUGGGUAUUUUAUUUAAGAGCAUAACAGAAAUCCACACCCUCUUCUGACUUUGGAAUUGUGCGUUCUCUUUUCAAUAAGAGAAAAUAAUGACUGAGGCCUUACUGUGUAAUUUUAAUUAUCUGUCAAAUUCUGAUUGUGUGAUUAAAUUCCUAGGCAUUGUUAAAAUUAAAGAAGCAAUGGUCAUGCUUUUGACAGUUCACUGAAUUUGAAGUGAGAAGAUCUACAUUUGAAAUUCAUCUUGGCCAGCUUUCUAUUUGGAUGACCUUGGACACAACUGCCUAACCAUCUCUAGCCUCCUUUUCCAAUACUUCUUCCUUUUCCAUUUUAACCAAAUGCAAAUACAUAGGGUUAGUGUAAGAAUUAAAUGAUGCUUAUAAGCAUGCUUUAUGAGCUCUGAAGCACUGUACAAAUAAAAGGCUGAAGGAAUAUGCUGAGGCUGAGCUUAAUUUGAAUUAACAUUUUACUUUUAGUUUUUAAUUUUAUAUUAUAGAAAUAGUGCAUAUGUACCAUUAUAAAAUUAGAAAGCAUAGAUAGGCAAGGGAGGGGGCUACAAAGAACUUCCUACAUCUGCCAUAGUGAGACAGUGGUUACCAUUUUGAUGGAUAUAUAUAGUUUCUAUGCAUAUUUGUGUAUGUAUAUGUGUAUGCAUUGUGUAAUAGAAAUGGGCUCAUCUUGGUUGGUUUGUUUAGUCACUUUAUUUUUGUAAGUCCCCUAAGAGUACAUUUACUUGAUUCAAGGAAUUAUUCCAUCUUUUGCUACAUAUUUCUUGUAUAUAAUGAGAACUAUAAUGAGAAAGAGCUAACUUCUCAGCCUGGUGAACGUGUGACCUUGUGGUAAUCUAAUAUCCUAAACCAUUUCCAAAGCUUCAUGAAUGGCACAUUCAGAAAUGGACUUGAUGUGGGUAUGUGGCUAUGAUUGGCAUUGUUGGUAAUAGCUUAAGGAUGACUCCAGUGUGUCCGUGAGGAGCUCGUUAACCAUGGUAUAUCCAACCCAUGGAAUAUUACAUAGUUUUGAAAAGAGUGAGGAAAAUAGAAGGGUAGAACAAGAAUAUAUAUUGCUAGUAAUUGCAAAACGAAAUUCUGAAAUGGUAUAUAAGAGACCAUUGAAAGAAAUAGUGGGGGAGUUCCCGUUGUGGCGCAGUGGUUAGCGAAUCCGACUAGGAACCAUGAGGUUGCGGGUUCGGUCCCUGCCCUUGCUCAUGUGGGUUAACGAUCUGGCGUUGCCGUGAGCUGUGGUGUAGGUUGCAGACGCGGCUCGGAUCCCGAGUUGCUGUGGCUCUGGCGUAGGCCGGUGGCUACAGCUCCGAUUCAACCCCUAGCCUGGGAACCUCCAUAUGCCGCGGGAGCGGCCCAAGAAAUAGCAACAGCAACAACAACAAAAAGACAAAAG
rnacentral:lncRNA from 1 species